GAGAGUCUUCGGACUCGAGCGGCGAACGGGUGAGUAACACGUAGGAAAUCUGCCGUAAAGACUGGGAUACCAGACCGAAAGGUUUGCUAAUACCGGAUAUGAAUUCGAGAGGCAUCUCUUGAAUUUGAAAGCUGCGUUUGCAGCACUAUACGAUGAUCCUGCGGCGCAUUAGUUAGUUGGUGAGAUAACAGCCCACCAAGACGAGGAUGCGUAGCCGACCUGAGAGGGUGAUCGGCCACAAUGGAACUGAGACACGGUCCAUACUCCUACGGGAGGCAGCAGUAAGGAGUUUUCGGCAAUGGGGGAAACCCUGACCGAGCAAUACCGCGUGAGUGAUGAAGGUCUUCGGAUCGUAAAACUCUGUUGUAAGGGAAGAAUGAUAAGAAUAGGAAAUGAUUUUUAUUUGACCGUACCUUACGAGGAAGCCACGGCUAACUACGUGCCAGCAGCCGCGGUAAUACGUAGGUGGCAAGCGUUAUCCGGAAUUAUUGGGCGUAAAGAGUGAGCAGGCGGCCGUUUAAGUCUGAAGUCAAAUGCAGUAGCUCAACUACUGUUCGCUUUGGAAACUGGAUGGCUAGAGUUCGGGAGAGGUAAAUGGAACUUCAUGUGUAGCGGUGGAAUGCGUAGAUAUAUGAAAGAACACCAGUGGCGAAGGCGAUUUACUAGACCGAUACUGACGCUCAGUCACGAAAGCGUGGGUAGCAAAUAGGAUUAGAUACCCUAGUAGUCCACGCCGUAAACGAUGAGUACUAAGUGUUGGGGUUACCCAGCGCU
rnacentral:rRNA from 1 species